GUCUGGACAUGUCUGGAAAACGACAAGGGCGCCUAUAGCGAUAUUUUGACGUUUUGAUAAUGGAAAUGAUUGGACAUCAUCAUCAACAACAACUGUACCUUCAGCAAUCAUCAACGAACAUUGCGAAACGUGCCCGGGAAUAUGCGUAUUUUUAAAAAUCUCGUCUUUGCCGCUUAAUUUCGCUUCGGUAUUUAAUUCGGUUUGGCAACAUGGCAGCAUUGCCAACUUAGCCUGUGGCCACUAUGGCUCCUCCUUCUUCCUCCAUUUACCCGCCAAAAAAAAAUGUGAGCAGUCAGUCAGCAUGCAGCAUACGGUGAGCGGUCCCAGCAUUUGCGUUAGUUAUGGAGCAUUGGAAGAUAUCUUGUUGUGUUAAGUUGUGUAUCGAGAGACGAGACGAAGGCUAUGAAUGUUGAAUGCUUCACCACAGCUUCAAUCAGCUAUUGUUGUGUUUUGAAUGAUAAAUGAUAAAUUACAUUAAUCUCAACUUAUUUUUUCAGAAUGUGUGGGCCCUAGACUAGAUCAGAUCAAUCCAUUUCACCAUGUGCAGCAGUGCAGUAACGAUAUCAUGUGACAUCUUUCUGCAACGAUGAUAGUUCACGAUUUAAGUUAAGCAAUUCAGAUAAGUUGGUUGGUGAUUAUUGUAUUAUUAACUAUAAUGUCUUUUUCAUGAUGUUUGGAUAGUGAUUAAAAAUUGCUCAUCGGUUCACCACGAAGACUGGAUUAUUACUGUAGUGCUACAGGCCAGAUGGGAUUCAACUCGAGGAAUUACAGUUGUGAAUUUUGGUCCAAGGCUAUCCUGCUGGCCGAUGAUAUGGAAGUGAAAUCAACUGUUUUUUAUGUAACUACAAGUUUCUAAUUCCGUCAGUGCCCUACAACUAGUGUUUGAUGGCCAGUCACCCUGUAUGGAUGACUUUCUACUGCAACAUCUGUCAACAAGGAAAUCACUUGACGAUUGUAUUUUCUUCUAAAUGUGAGUUUUAAUUUGUGGUAGUGCUAAAUUUUCU